GGACAGCGCAUUCAGGCGCUCUCAGGUUUUCAACCAGAAUUGUGGUUCUUUCCCCACUCCCUUUAGUGACUCUACGUCUUCUAUAACGUGCAAGGCAGCGAACUGCUUUCGUGGCAUUUUUUGUCACUUCGUAAAGGCUGCCUUGAAGGAUUUGUUCCUGUCCUCUCCAAGUAUCCCGGGAAAGGCUGAGAGAGCUCAAUGGCAGUAUUUGCAUAUAUUUGCAAUAUAUUUGCAUAUAUUUUGCAGCUCUCCAAAGCUCACCUGGCAUUGCCUAUAAGAGGAACAGUGGAGAUGAAAUGAAUGUGCAGCGGAAUCAUUCCCCUGAAUUCCAGCCCUACAUUCUGCCUGCUCUCCUCCAGAAGCUUUUCAUUUUCUAAUGGGAAGAGGAGACAUGCACUCCACCCAGGUUACAGCUGGGCGUUUCUCAGCAGUUGCGUGACUCAAGAUCUAAUCCUUGCAGUUAGAAAUGUUGUUUUCCUUCUAUUAUCUUGGCUGAGUAGAUCACUGGGUAGAUAUGCUGUCAUUAUACACCCAUUUCUGAGGAAGAAAGAAGAGAGCUUUCUUAACCUCUCCAGUCUUUUUGGAUUGCAUGUCCUAGUAAUGUUUCUAUAAAGCCGCAGAUAAUUCAGAAUUAAAGCAGAGUAUCUGUUUUUGAAAGGGAACAAAUAGAUAUAUUUCUAGUGUUAGGAAACCAGCAUUUCAUUGGAAAAAACCCCAACAUUUUACCAAAAAUGUGCUCCCUUAAAUUUUAUUGAGAUCACUUUAUACACUGAUAAUAAUCACCUGACUUUAUGGAGACUGACCUUAAUUUUCUCUACAGGGUAAAUGAGACACUACAUUAAGAUCUUACCUGCCCAGAGUAAUGCAGGCCAUACUGCUCAGUGUUAUAAAUGGACAGGGUGCAGGUAUGUGCUCCUGUCCAAGAUUUAAAAAGAGAAAAUCAGUGCAAUUAAUUAGAACUUUUGUCAAAGCAAAACGUAGAGAAUGCAAUUGCAGUUGAAAGGGUUGUUUGUUUUGGGGUUAUUCAAACAAGAUAACUUUCAGGUGGGAGAAUGGAAGUUUUGAUCAUAGAGGACAAAUGCAUAGAUACAAGCUACAAAACAGGAUUAAAAAUAUAUGUUUAAGGCAAGUGAUAUCUAAAGGCUGGAGUAUCCUCUUUUCAAGUAGCACCAUGCAGAUACUGAAAAUCUUUGGUACAAUGACUGGAUGAUCCUCUAGGGUACAUCAGGUAAGUUCUUUCAUCAAGACACUUCUUUUCCAGAAAGCUUUAAGAGAUUGCAAGUAGUGAGAAGUGACUCACAUCACCACAGCAGACUGUAAUGUCAGAGCAUUCUGGAAAAAUGUUUGGCAUCUUCUUAAAAGGCCAAAAGUAAAAAGUAUAUGUAUAAGGAAGUAGCAAUGACAGGUUUCAUGUUCUUCCAAUAUGUAUUAAUUCUAUUUAAGGGUGGGUUUAAAAAAAAUUAAUUUGUUAUUGUGCAAUACAACAGAAGACCUGUAAACCCUAAAACUUCCUUAUAAGAAAGAUGGAAAGCUCUCAUUUAAGAGCUUAUAUUGAAGACAUUUCCAAAAGCAACAUUUAAAAACUCACAUUAAAUCAAACUGAACUAUGACUGCAUUGUAUACAGAAGCUAAUUAACAAGAACAUAUAAAGUUCUUUAAAAUUAUAGCAAAUUAAGAAGCUGAAACACAGUGUGCUAAAGAGAACCAUGACCCUUUUGCCCAUCUUAUUUUCCAUACUUUUGAAGGCAUCUUUCAGCAAAUCAGAACUAAAAUAUAGAAUUAUUUCUCCACUACUCUUAAGAGGAAAGCAUUGGUUCUUACAGUGGAAAACCAAAAGCGAAAAAACCAGUAUCUUAACCUGGAUGAAAAGCUGAAGAAGAUGUUUUAAUAUGAAAAUGUUAGGAAUGAAGCUGGAAAACUCACACUUUUAACUCCAGGAAAUUAGAAGUACUUCUGAAAAGUCUAGGAUCAAAGCUUAGUUACUAGAAUUCUAUCCACCAUCAUAAUUUUAAAAUGUAUUUCCCUUUUUUUUUUCCUUCUUUGUAUGAUAGGGCCUUGAGUUAGUCAAUGGCUUCCAUUUUUGCAUGUAGAACAUGUUUAGGAAACUAUUUCGAUAUCCAGGAUUUACAGGAUUUGCUAAAAUUUCUCUAAGGUCUUGAUUAAUAAGUCAGAAAUGCCUGAGGGAGACUUUUUCAUUGGACUCAAUGAGUUUUAGAUCAGAGUCUAAGUUUUCCUGCGCUCACAUAUAAAAAUAAUUUUGUACAUCCAUAUUUCUUCUAACUGUUCAUUCAUAGCAGAUAUCUAUAUAUAUCCCUUUUUGUUCCUCGUAGACAUCUGUUCAAGUCAGCCCCCUUCUUCACUGUGAGAGCUGAGUAUAUAACAUAAAUUGCAGCUGAGACAGGAAAAGCCUGACUAACACAUCUCAUUUAUUACCUUUAUUAAUCUUAUAAUAAAUUAAAUCAGCUGCACCCUUAAAAGGAAACCUGUAUAUGUCGUGACAUGGAAUAUUGAAAUCUCAUCUAGCUUGUUCCGAAUUAUACUUGUUAUUAACUAGAAAAUUGUAACCUGAGGGUCUUCAUUUGAAAAUGGCAGGAUUUAUUAUUGACAUAAUUUCUUUAGCUGUACAAAAUAGGCUUUUUGAUAUUGCUCAGAGCAAUGUGUGCAAAAGUUAGCUUAAUGAGAAUUAUAAUUUUAAACUGAGCAUUUGAUUUUACAAAUACUGUAUGUUAGAUUUCACAUGUGUGACAAACUAAGCAUGAAAUGAGUAAGGUUUUGAAGCUUCUUACUGAAGUAAAUAUAAGGUACUUGAAGACAAAAGAUGAGUAUUAAUAUUUCUUUAUUAAUAGAAAGAAAUUAAUUCUAUAUUUUACUAAUUUAAAGCUAUUCAACCCUUUCCUUACUCACUUCUUUCCACUGGGAUUUAUUUCCCUAUGCACUUUUCUUUCCUGCUUGCUAAAAUGUUGUAAGCAUGGUUUAUACAGGUAGAACAUUCUUUUGAAGUUUCAUCAAUUCAAAGGUGGAUGUGUUAGUUUGUGUGAGAGCAAGCAUGGAAAUUGGUCCUCUGUUCAUACCAGUUUAAACUUUCACCUUUUUAAAAUAAAGUUUAUGUGUUUUCCAUUACCUGCUACAUGUUGCCUGUUUCAUUACAUUCACAUGAAUAUUGAAUAUUCCCCCAUUUCCUGGAGGCCCAAGGAAAGUCUUUGGAACACUUCAUAGUCUUCUUUUGACAACACAAUAGUUGUUGCAAACAACUUCAUAACUUUGAGAUGUUUUUUUUCUGUUGUUCAGGGUUCAAAAUAAAUUUGUUCCACCCCCGCCCACUUCCCAGCCAUCCAUUAUUUUCACAGUGAUUACAGAACUCUUUAAGGAGAUAUUGUCAGAAUUUUUUUGCUGUUGGAAAGUAUCUCCAAAAUCCGACUAUAUAUUUAUUCUUCUUUCCCUCUCAGCAGAUAUUUUUUAAGUACAAAUGCCAGGUCACAUCUUUUUGCACAUGCAUUUGAUUUUCUGUAACAGCAUGUCAGUAUUAGGCUGCAAGGUUUUCUGCUGUGUGUCUGUCACUUAGAGCAUAUGUGUAGUGUGCAACAUUUGUCCAGAUGUAAUAUGCAUAGAGGGUGAGGAAUAACAUGAGGAAAACUGCACUCUAAACUACCUGUAUGCUUUUUUUUUCUAGUGUGCAGAAGUACAAAGUAGAGUUUUUGCACAAUCACUUGUUUCCCAUCUGUGUAAACACUGUCUGCAAGAAACAGAUGGAAACCUUCAGAAAUAGUCAUCAGGACUAUGUUUCACCAAUGAAGUUCCUGAUUGCUCCUGCAAAAUACAUUUUAAGUGUGUGGCACUUACUGCUCAUGAGGGGGGAAACUAGAAAGCAGAACUUGCUUUCAGACCAUGCACUAAAUAUGGAGGCAACUGUGGGAAACUAUUUUUGAGUUUCAUCUUCUAUCCCCACCUCAAAGGGAGGUGUAUAUGAAAUUCACAGCUGGAAUUUGGCUACACAUUCAAUCCUUUGUGGUAGGUCCCAGUGAGCCAGACCAAGUGGUGUCAUAGAAGUGCAAGUUGAGUCUACAGAAAAAGUACAUGUAAUGCAAAAAUUUAAGGCUAAGAGUUUUGUCAUACCAUGGCAGCUUUGACGUCUCUUGGCCAGCUCAUAUUAUGUUAGAUUUGUGUGAGAUACAGGACAAUAUUUAACCAAAUAAAUACUAUUUCGUUUCCAACCUACCACAAUCUUGUAUGAUGAAUCCUGAGAGAAAAGCUAGAGCUUAACACACUGCAGCAGUGGUCUCAGCUUUACAUGGCUACUGAUAAAUAAGAUAGCAAGGGAACUUAUUUCUUUCCAUAUUGUUAAUAAAAAAUUGCCUCCAUAAAGCUAUAGAUUUUCUGAAGGGUAGAAUUUACCUUGUUCAUAUAAUGUACAGCUGAGUUCUGAAUAUUAUUAUUAAGAAUUUGGAGAUUUGAGCUUUCUCUUCUUCAGCUUUCCAUGGCCUGUAGUUGGUGCUGGUCUGGAACCAAAUGUCUGUGAGUCAAGCAAGAGUCAAGGUGAGACUCUCCUUCAACUGUGCAAAGAAAUUACAAUAACCCAGCUGUGGCCAAUUGUGUCACGUUUACUCAAGAAGCAUCUCACUUGAUUCCAAGAGCAUAAGACAAUGAAAGGUUUACUGGGAUAGAACUAGCAAUCUGUGUUUUCCAGAUGAAGUUAGCAAUAUAGUUUUUCCAUAGAAUACAAGUUGAAUAUGAGCUCCCUUUGAACUUAAUAGAAUCAAUAAUGUUUAAAAGAGGAACUUGACAAUAGCAUUGUGCUUCCUCUGAUAGCUUUUCUUUUUUUUUUUUUUAAUUUUAGGAGAAGGAAGUGAAUUCUCACUUCCUCUUUCAUUGAACAACUUAUGUUUCUACACUACACUAUUGCAAUAUACAGUUGUAUUAUUUUUAGUCUAUGGUUAUAACUAAUAUAUUAAAUGCUGUCAUAUUUCCCUCAUAUGAUAGCUUGAGUGCCCAUUUGUCAACAAAAAAUAGUACUGUUGCACAAUGAUGCAGCCAUCUGCUGACCACAACAGAACUUUCUGUGAGAAUAAGGAA